rnacentral:rRNA from 1 species
UACAGAGGUCUCAAGCGUUGUUCGGAUUCAUUGGGCGUAAAGGGCGCGUAGGCGGCGCGGUAAGUCGGGUGUGAAAUUUCGAGGCUUAACUUCGAAACUGCAUUCGAUACUGCCGUGCUUGAGGACUGGAGAGGAGACUGGAAUUUACGGUGUAGCGGUGAAAUGCGUAGAUAUCGUAAGGAAGACCAGUGGCGAAGGCAGGUCUCUGGACAGUUCCUGACGCUGAGGCGCGAAGGUCAGGGGAGCAAACGGG